AUUGAACGCUGGCGGCAUGCUUUACACAUGCAAGUCGAACGGCAGCGCGGGCUUCGGCCUGGCGGCGAGUGGCGAACGGGUGAGUAAUACAUCGGAACGUGCCCAGUAGUGGGGGAUAGCUCGGCGAAAGCCGGAUUAAUACCGCAUACGACCUGAGGGUGAAAGCGGGGGAUCUUCGGACCUCGCGCUAUUGGAGCGGCCGAUGGCAGAUUAGCUAGUUGGUGGGGUAAAGGCCUACCAAGGCGACGAUCUGUAGCUGGUCUGAGAGGACGACCAGCCACACUGGGACUGAGACACGGCCCAGACUCCUACGGGAGGCAGCAGUGGGGAAUCUUGGGCAAUGGGCGAAAGCCUGAUGCAGCAAUGCCGCGUGUGUGAUGAAGGCCUUCGGAUUGUAAAGCACUUUUGGCGGGAACGAAAAAGACUGUGCCAAUACCACGGUUCGAUGACGGUACCCGCAGAAUAAGCACCGGCUAACUACGUG
rnacentral:rRNA from 1 species